GAUUGAAAGGCUGGGUCUUACAGAGGAGAUCAGAUCAUGAGGACUCUCCCCUCAUGAAUGAAUGAAAGAAUGGAUUAAUGAAAUGGGUUAUCAUAGAAGGGAAACUGGUGGCUUCACAACAAGAUGAGAGAUCUGACCUCGAAUAUUUGCCUGCUCAGCCCCAUUGCCAUGCGAUGCCAUGUCCUGUGCCACCUCUGGACUCUGCAGGGAGUCCCCACCAGCAAGAAGGCUCUCACCAGACAUAGCUCCUCGACCUUGGAUUUCUCAGCCUCCAGAACGGCUCUACAGAUUGAUUUUAAAGCCACCUACACUGCAGUUCCUUCAAUUUAGCUCCACUUAUCUGAUUAUGCAUCACAAAAGGAAGCAGAAAUUCAGCUUAAUUGUGAAGCCAUUGCAGCAGAACCAAGCAAAUGAUAGAAAACCUCAUGAUCACAGACAGAAUCACACUCACUGAUGCUGAAUGAAAUGACAGACAUCCGUCCCUCUGCAGAAGCCUGAAUACUGAUCACAGAAUUUUAUGUUCUGACAUUGUGUGUCUCUUGUCAGAUAGUGUUGUCCUUUACUUUCCCCGGUUCAGUUGUGAAAGUCAGGUGCAGUCUCCUACUAUUUUUUUUUUAAAUUCAUUAUGACAAGUAAAUGGUCUCUGGGAAAGCGAACAUCCUCAUCCACUGUUUACUGAAACUGUAACACUGUCAUGAGUGAAGAAUGAAACAUGUUUAAUGUAAAGAGUUUGCAGAAUGAUGAUCAGAGGAAAAGAACAUUAAACAGAAGAAACAUAAAUAUAAGAAUGGGGAGAGAGAUGUAAUCAAAAGACAGCUUGUAAGGGAGGUUACAUGCUGCCAUUUGCUUUUCAGCUGUGUUUUCCAUAGUGGGACAGAUCUUGCUCUUUGUUACUUCUACUUUUGCUUUUUCCCAUCUGCAAAGAGGGAAACAAUCUGCUUUUGAAUCUCUAGUGAAGCAUCACCUAGAAGCUGCUGCCAAAGCUUGAUAUCCAGAGUGCUCUAAAACAUAGUGUGAUGUGCCCUUUCAUCUUAAAGGAUUAUUUUUGGCUGGGCAGACCUCUCUAAGAUAGAUUAUAAGGAGCUGGCUUUUAAAGGCAAUGAAAACUGCUUCUGUAUUCACAUUUACCCCCUCCCUCCAUUAUCUGAGGUAUGUAAAUAAUGUUUUAAAGUGGUGAUGUGAGAAUAUUAAUUAUGUUUUCAUUUCUUGUUCCUGUUACCAUGUAAUAUAUCUUCAAGUGCUGAGAAAACAUCUUACAAAACCAUUAAAGAUUCCAAAUGUUCAUACAUAAA